UACGGAGGAUGCAAGCGUUAUCCGGAAUGAUUGGGCGUAAAGCGUCCGCAGGUGGCAAUGUAAGUCUGCUGUUAAAGAGUCUAGCUCAACUAGAUAAAAGCAGUGGAAACUACAUAGCUAGAGUACGUUCGGGGCAGAGGGAAUUCCUGGUGUAGGCGGUGAAAUGCGUAGAGAUCAGGAAGAACACCAGUGGCGAAGGCGCUCUGCUAGGCCGUAACUGACACUGAGGGACGAAAGCUAGGGAGCGAAUGGG
rnacentral:rRNA from 1 species